rnacentral:rRNA from 1 species
GUCACUGAUGGAUGGACCCGCGGUGCAUUAGCUAGUUGGUGAGGUAACGGCUCACCAAGGCCACGAUGCAUAGCCGACCUGAGAGGGUGAUCGGCCACAUUGGGACUGAGACACGGCCCAAACUCCUACGGGAGGCAGCAGUAGGGAAUCUUCGGCAAUGGACGAAAGUCUGACCGAGCAACGCCGCGUGAGUGAAGAAGGUUUUCGGAUCGUAAAACUCUGUUGUUAGAGAAGAACAAGGAUGAGAGUAACUGUUCAUCCCUUGACGGUAUCUAACCAGAAAGCCACGGCUAACUACGUGCCAGCAGCCGCGGUAAUACGUAGGUGGCAAGCGUUGUCCGGAUUUAUUGGGCGUAAAGCGAGCGCAGGCGGUUUCUUAAGUCUGAUGUGAAAGCCCCCGGCUCAACCGGGGAGGGUCAUUGGAAACUGGGAGACUUGAGUGCAGAAGAGGAGAGUGGAAUUCCAUGUGUAGCGGUGAAAUGCGUACAUAUAUGGAGGAACACCAGUGGCGAAGGCGGCUCUCUGGUCUGUAACUGACGCUGAGGCUCGAAAGCGUGGGGAGCAAACAGGAUUAGAUACCCUGGUAGUCCACGCCGUAAACGAUGAG